rnacentral:rRNA from 1 species
AGAGUUUGAUCCUGGCUCAGAACGAACGCUGGCGGCAGGCUUAACACAUGCAAGUCGAACGAACUCUUCGGAGUUAGUGGCAGACGGGUGAGUAACGCGUGGGAACCUACCUUUAGGUACGGAACAACAGUUGGAAACGACUGCUAAUACCGUAUGUGCCCUAUGGGGGAAAGAUUUAUCGCCUAAGGAUGGGCCCGCGUUGGAUUAGCUAGUUGGUGGGGUAAAGGCCUACCAAGGCGACGAUCCAUAGCUGGUCUGAGAGGAUGAUCAGCCACACUGGGACUGAGACACGGCCCAGACUCCUACGGGAGGCAGCAGUGGGGAAUAUUGGACAAUGGGGGCAACCCUGAUCCAGCCAUGCCGCGUGAGUGAUGAAGGCCCUAGGGUUGUAAAGCUCUUUCAGCGAGGAGGAUAAUGACGUUACUCGCAGAAGAAGCCCCGGCUAACUUCGUGCCAGCAGCCGCGGUAAUACGAAGGGGGCUAGCGUUGUUCGGAAUCACUGGGCGUAAAGCGCACGUAGGCGGACUUUUAAGUCAGGGGUGAAAUCCCGGGGCUCAACCCCGGAACUGCCUUUGAUACUGGAAGUCUUGAGUCCGAGAGAGGUGAGUGGAACUCCGAGUGUAGAGGUGAAAUUCGUAGAUAUUCGGAAGAACACCAGUGGCGAAGGCGGCUCACUGGCUCGGUACUGACGCUGAGGUGC